UACAUGUGGGGCAAGCGUUGUUCGGAAUUACUGGGCAUAAAGGGUGCGUAGGUGGUUUGUUAAGUCAGGGGUGAAAUCCCGCGGCCCAACCGUGGAACUGCCUUUGAUACUGGCGAACUUGAGUGCGUGAGGGGUAGGGGGAACGAGUAGUGUAGCGGUGAAAUGCGUAGAUAUUGCUCGGAAGGCCAGAGCCGAAGGGGCCCUACUGGUGCGCAACUGACACUGAGGCACGAAAGCGUGGGGAGCAAACAGG
rnacentral:rRNA from 1 species